GACGUAGGGCGCGAGCGUUGUCCGGAUUUAUUGGGCGUAAAGAGCUCGUAGGCGGUUCGGUAAGUCGGAUGUGAAAUCUCCACGCUCAACGUGGAGGGGCCAUUCGAUACUGCCGUGACUCGAGUCCGGUAGGGGAGUGUGGAAUUCCCGGUGUAGCGGUGAAAUGCGCAGAGAUCGGGAGGAACACCCGUAGCGAAGGCGGCACUCUGGGCCGGUACUGACGCUGAGGAGCGAAAGCGUGGGGAGCGAACAGG
rnacentral:rRNA from 1 species